rnacentral:lncRNA from 1 species
CGCCGUCGGCUGCCGGGGGGUUGGCCGGGGUGUCAUUGGCUCUGGGAAGCGGCAGCAGAGGCAGGGACCACUCGGGGUCUGGUGUCGGCACAGCCAUGGCGGGCGCGUUGGUGCGGAAAGCGGCGGACUAUGUCCGAAGCAAGGAUUUCCGGGACUACCUCAUGAGUACGGUAAGAAAAUUAUUUCCAUCCAUUUCAGGCUUUUGCAGACUUUCUGCAUUAACAGAGUUAGGGGUAACAGGCUUAGCAUCCUUUGCAUAUGAGAGCCUUUCUAGCCGCCAUGGCUGGCAGGUUGUGAAGGGUGCCUACUGCACCCUGGCCUGUCCUGGGGAGCCUAGACACGAGCUCUGUGACAGCCAUGCUCCUGGGGCUGCUCCCUACUCCUGUUUUUAGAAACAAGCAUAUAAUUACUUCAUUGAUAACAGUCACAGUGGAGCCUAGCAACCGAUGAAAGGAAAUAGAGAAAGAAAAAGAGAAAGCAGGAAAAGAAGGGUGGGAUGAUUUUUUCCUGUAGGGUGGAGUUCAUUUCCAUGGCUUGAUUUUCACACAGGAGAUGGUGUUGUAUAAUUCUGUUGGAACUUUCUUUUCAGCACAAUUAAGAAUUAUAAUCAAGUAAAAUGUUUUCCAUUUAAUCCAACAUAUGUUAAUUUCUUUUUGAAUUUUAAUAAAGUUCCUUAUUUUUCUCAAAAUUGACUGCUGAAUAUCUGACAGCAUAAAUCAAUUGUAUUCUAAAAAAGGGAAGAGAGAACUAGAAUAUUGUACUAGAUAGAAAAGAUGCAUUAUAAACUUUCUAAGGUUAGGUAUUUUAGUAAACUAGUGUUAAAAUGAUUUUUACCUUUCGUGUUCUUCUUAAGAAACAUAUUUUCAGUAUAGCUCAACACUUACAGUCAUAAGUGUAUGUAUAGUUCUUAACUUGCAGAACUGUUUCCUAUAACCUAACACUCAUCACACUUAAACUUUUUAUUUUUUUAAUUUUUUUUCUUUUUUGAGAUGGAGUCUUGCUCUGUUGCCCAGGCAAGAGUGCAGUAGCACUAUCUUGGCUCACUACAACCUCUGCCUCACGUGUUCAAGCGAUUCUCCUGCCUCAACCUCCCUAGUAGCUGGGAUUUCAGGUGCAAGCCACCACACCCAGCUAAUUUGUGUAUUUUUAGUAGAGACGGGGUUUCACCAUGUUGGUCAGGCUGGUCUCAAACUCCUGACCUCAUGAUCCGCCUGCCUCAGCCUCCCAAAGUACUGGGAUUACAGGUGUGAGCCACCAUGCCCGGCCCAUACUUAAACUUUUAAUAACAUCACUUAGCCAGGAAUCUCCCAAGGCUACUUUAGGUUUAGAUUUAUUCCAUUGUCCAUUUCUGCUUUAGCCCCACCUAUGAAAGAAGACACAUUCACAACCAGUGGUAGAGAAACUGUGGUUUAUAUGCCCCUCUUAGAAUAACUCUUCAGGCUCUGUUUAUAGCCCUGGGUUCAUGCAUGAUAAAGUAGACAGCAACACCACCAUACAGUGCAGAGGAGUGGCAAGAGAGUAAACGGAAAAGGAGAUGAAAAUAGACCAAGUGGAGAAAGGCCUGGUCAAAAAAGGAGGAAAAGGAAGAUCACUAUGGAAUAAUAGAGAGUUGAAAAAUGAAGUGACACCCAAUAACAGGACGGCACUUCUGGGGCCCAGUAGCCAACUGGGGUCUUCCCAUUGCUGCCAUCAAUGAUAUGAAAAAGUCUCCAGAGAUUAUCAGUGGGCGGAUGACAUUUGCCCUCUGUUGCUAUUCUUUGACAUUCAUGAGAUUUGCCUACAAGGUACAGCCUCGGAACUGGCUUCUGUUUGCAUGCCACGCAACAAAUGAAGUAGCCCAGCUCAUCCAGGGAGGGCGGCUUAUCAAACACGAGAUGACUAAAACGGCAUCUGCAUAACAAUGGAAAAGGAAGAACAAGGUCUUGAAGGGACAGCAUUGCCAGCUGCUGCUGAGUCACAGAUUUCAUUAUAAAUAGCCUCCCUAAGGAAAAUACACUGAAUGCUAUUUUUACUAACCAUUCUAUUUUUAUAGAAAUAGCUGAGAGUUUCUAAACCAACUCUCUGCUGCCUUACAAGUAUUAAAUAUUUUACUUCUUUCCAUAAAGAGUAGCUCAAAAUAUGCAAUUAAUUUAAUAAUUUCUGAUGAUGGUUUUAUCUGCAGUAAUAUGUAUAUCAUCUAUUAGAAUUUACUUAAUGAAAAACUGAAGAGAACAAAAUUUGUAACCACUAGCACUUAAGUACUCCUGAUUCUUAACAUUGUCUUUAAUGACCACAAGACAACCAACAGCUGGCCACGUACUUAAAAUUUUGUCCCCACUGUUUAAAAAUGUUACCUGUGUAUUUCCAUGCAGUGUAUAUAUUGAGAUGCUGUAACUUAAUGGCAAUAAAUGAUUUAAAUAUUUGUUAAA